AGGAACGAAAGCCGGGGUAGCAAAUGGGAUUAGAUACCCCAGUAGUCCCGGCCGUAAACGAUGGAUACUAGGUGUUGCGGGUAUCGACCCCUGCAGUGCCGCAGCUAACGCGUUAAGUAUCCCGCCUGGGGAGUACGCACGCAAGUGUGAAACUCAAAGGAAUUGACGGGGACCCGCACAAGCGGUGGAACAUGUGGUUUAAUUCGAAGCAACGCGAAGAACCUUACCAGGGCUUGACAUCUGACGAAUGUUUAUGAAAGUAGACAGUGCCUUCGGGAGCGUCAAGACAGGUGGUGCAUGGUUGUCGUCAGCUCGUGUCGUGAGAUGUUGGGUUAAGUCCCGCAACGAGCGCAACCCUCGUUAUUAGUUGGUGUUAGUGGUUUACUGCUAACGACCUCUCUAAUGAGACUGCCGGUGAUAAACCGGAGGAAGGUGGGGAUGACGUCAAAUCAUCAUGCCCCUUAUGUCCUGGGCUACACACGUGUUACAAUGGCCGGUACAGCGAGCAGCCAGACUGUGAAGUUGAGCAAAUCUCUAAAAACCGGUCUCAGUUCGGAUUGCACUCUGCAACUCGAGUGCAUGAAGUCGGAAUCGCUAGUA
rnacentral:rRNA from 1 species